rnacentral:rRNA from 1 species
GACGAACGCUGGCGGCGUGCCUAAUACAUGCAAGUUGAGCGAUGAAGAUUGGUGCUUGCACCAAUUUGAAGAGCAGCGAACGGGUGAGUAACGCGUGGGGAAUCUGCCUUUGAGCGGGGGACAACAUUUGGAAACGAAUGCUAAUACCGCAUAACAACUUUAAACAUAAGUUUUAAGUUUGAAAGAUGCAAUUGCAUCACUCAAAGAUGAUCCCGCGUUGUAUUAGCUAGUUGGUGAGGUAAAGGCUCACCAAGGCGAUGAUACAUAGCCGACCUGAGAGGGUGAUCGGCCACAUUGGGACUGAGAAACGGCCCAAACUCCUACGGGAGGUAGCAGUAGGGAAUCUUCGGCAAUGGACGAAAGUCUGGCCGAGCAACGCCGCGUGAGUGAAGAAGGUUUUCGGAUCGUAAAACUCUGUUGGUAGAGAAGAACGUUGGUGAGAGUGGAAAGCUCAUCAAGUGACGGUAACUACCCAGAAAGGGACGGCUAACUACGUG